CAGCGCCUCUGGCAGUCAGGGACGUGCGGGAGCUGCCCUGCCAGCCCGGGUUUGGCUUGGCCCGCUUAGGGCGGAAUGUGGCAUCCUGUAUUCCCUCGGGCAGCUUUCUGGUACGGAAGAAGCAGAAGACCUAGAAGACCUGAUUGCUUGAAUAUUUUUACUGCUUGAAGGUCAUGUUUUGAGGCCGAUGCACUCACCUGCAAGGUGACAGCGCAUGAGGAGGUACAUUAAGGGAAACAGAAGGCACCCUUCCUCAUCACUAAUAUCUUUGGCCGCAGACACUGCAAGUGUGUGUGGAACUCAGAAGCAGUUUUCCUGCUGACUCAGACUGUGGGAGGUUGUCUAAGGUAAAAUCACUUCUAGAUCCAGACUCCCUUGGCCUUCUCGCUAUCUGUCUGACAAAGCUCUGUGCCACACCAUCUGCGUGCCAGAUUCCUCUGACCGCGAUGAACCACAAGCAGGGAAGGACUGAAAGUUCUCCAGUACAGCCUUCAGUUACAAGAGGUAACUGAAGAGGGAACUGAUGCCUAGUCAUGCAUGAGGAAUCCCAAAUAUACAUCUAUAUAUAACAUGGGUCCUGCAGCCUGCAUGUGGGAACAGAUUGUGUGUGUCAUCCAUGAGCAGAGCUGCCACUGGCAUCACAGGGACUAUCACAUGUGGUUCACAUGCAAGAUCAGUUUGCUAAGGUUCAAGUUUUUCACUUCCUACUUGACUCUACAGUUACCCAUCUUUAUGUUGAAGCCUCUGUGGUUGUUUUGUUGCUAGACAAGUUUACAUUUUGAUAAUUGCUUAUGCAGAAUUAUACAAGCUGGGAAGGCAAAGUAUCAAGAACAAAACCAACAUUCCACAACAGGGUGAGCUUCCAACUGUUGAAAUAACAAUGGUAAUUAAAAAGGAGUUUUGCAAUUAUAAAAUUGCUUUAGUUAUAAAAAGGAAAUAAAUGAAGAUAUUCAUGGUGUCGCUAACAUCCUUGCAUGAUGAAACAACUACAAACUAGUGUCUUUAAAGCAUCAUUUACAGGAGAAAGAAAUAAGCCAACAAAUUUUAAAAGCAGGUGGAUUACCAUACAUCAGCUAGCAUUCCCUCCAUAAACAUAUCAAUAUAUGUAUUAUAAACCCUGUCAGAAUUUCCUUUUGGUGGUCAGAAUUGAUAUGCCAACUAAAAACCCCAUAACCUUUAUAUACACACUUUCUGAAUUUUGUUUUAUGUAUUCAGUUAUACAGUCCUCUUUAACCUAUUAAUAUGAUACUAUCCUGUUUAUAUAUGAAGAAGUUCAAGACACAGGAUAUCUCUUUUGAAUGAAGAAGACUUGUGUUUCCUCUCCAUCAAAACAUGAUGUGGCUACCAAUAUUCCCCUUAUUGAGAAUGUUCUUAAAGAAGAGCCAGAGUGUUUUGACUGAAAUCUACUAGACAUGAAAAAUAUGCGGAUCAUAAUGCAGUCAACAGCAGCUAGCUCAUUCAGGGCUAGGUCCCAAAAUCAUGGUCAUAACUGGGACAGCAACCUCUGACUACUGGCACAUUCUAAUCUGUUAAAGCUAACCCUCUCUCACAACCUUAUGGUCAGGCAUGUUGGGGUGCAGAAAACCACGCAGAAAGUCUUGUUUCUAGUUUAAGUUAAUAAAUUUAAAUGCUUGCCUCCAAAAUCAUGACCUGCACUGCCUGGAAAAUUGCUCCACAAACACCCCAUUCCUUAACGUAUUAUAGGCAAUGGGGAUUGGAUUUAGCCUUUUUUUUUUCUUUUUUCCCCUUCAGCCUACAUGGGCUACCUGACCUCAAAUAACACCUUCCAACAAAAAAAAAAGAAAGUUGCCUACUUUUUCAUGCCAAUCCACAUACCACAUUCCACUGCCUUUUUAGUUUCUAACUCCUGAAAGCUCUAUUAAAAAUGUCUUCCUACUUGUUCGUAGAAUGGCUGUUUUGUGUGGGGUAUCACUGGCUCAGAAAUAAGACCUCAAACACAAAGCAACAUAGAGUGAUUUAUUCAGCAACACAGGAGCAAGUUUCUAGCAUAUGAUGAACUGAAAAACUACAUGCAGAGUUAUGAACUCCAGAAACAAAAUAUCUUCCUGAUUUUUUUGUCUAUUUUUAUCUAAAAGCAGAAAUACUGUUUAUCUCUGCCUGAGGAUGUAUACAUUAUUAAAUGCAAAAUGCAUAUACUUUACCUGCUUAUGUUUCUACAAGUGAAUUGGAGGCUGUACUUUUUCCUGGCUUUGGUGUCUAUUGGUCAUACUCUGAAACAUGUUCUAGCAGUUUCAGUUUUCUUGCACCUGUAUGUUGAAUACUAUCCUGUCUUUAGCAUGAUAAAAUAGUUGUUCAGAGCUACAAAGCCAGCAUUUGUUUUUUUAGGCCUCUUUAGCAUACAGAGCAUGUUUGCAGGAAGAGCCAUAAGAGGAGAAUACACACACUGAAAUUCACACUUUCUCAGAGAUAAACUUUGUAAAGUUGGAGUGUUGUUUCUCAAUCAGUAAUUUAGCGGUGAAAGAGAAAAGCAGAAAGAUAGAAUCCACAGUGUCCAGAAAGCACAGGUACUUUGGAUUAAGAAUGGUAUCAUUUAAAUCAGUACAUGCUUGAGAAUGUGUGCAAAGACAUUGGAUGUGCACAAUUGCAUACAGUGGUCAGCAAUCUAAAGGAGAUUCUGCAUUGAUGAAUUAUACUUUCAGUAAGUACAUUUGGCACCACUUUGCACUGGGAAACUACAGGUAGUUAAAAAUUUCUGAGAGAAAAUUGCAGCUGGUAUCCUCAAAUCUUUAAUUUUAUCAACAAAAAAUGUUAGGCUGCCAAUGUGAGGCAGUACAGUGCUUUGUCUACCUGUUGAGGAAAAGACUGAAAACAAAGAUUCAGUGUUUGUCUGAAUGAACAAUGGAGAUAGUCUUGCAUUAACUCUAGCCACAGACUGAGCCAGCUAGGCAUGCACAGCUGUGGUACAGAGAGGCUGCCGGUUAGUGCUGUGCCGGAGCUAAGCAUAGCUGCAAGGCUGUAUAUUUUACUUCAGACCUGUUGCCAAGACAUAAGAUAGUAUGUACUCCUAGAUACAGACACUCAAAUUACAUUCCAGCUUAUGCCUUGUUUAUGCCUUGGCUUGAUGUUUUCAGAUAGGUUCCUUUGGACAAAAUUUUCCAAACGGCCUUCAAGUUUGGACGCCUUUACCAUUGCAGGAAAUCAGACAUUCUUAGGAAGCAAAUAGUUUACAUUUGGCCAAUACAUCCAAGGCUGUUCUGCAGGGACACCAAAUUUAGACUUGCAGUUUUUAAAAAUCUUACUGUCAAGGCCUUCCUUCAUGCCUCUGUUUUCCAGCCCCGUAAUUGAAUAAUAUAAGUCUACAAAUAUUUGAAGAAUAUUCUUGAGUACUUCUGUAAUAAAUGCUCUAAUACUGACAGUAACCACCAAGACUUGCUGGCUUGCUCUGUGCAGUUAUAACAGAUUCUUGGUCUUCACUUACCUUAGCAAACUUGCCUUAAACCAUGUUAAGAUGCAAAAUGCUCUACCUUAUAAACAGUCUUGUAUACAAAAAACUAAGUUGAAAUUCAUCACAGCGAAGACCAGCUCCUGUAUAUAUGAACAAGAAGUUAAAUAUAAUGCAAAAAUAACUGGCAAGACAAUAAAAAACAUUGACAGGACUGGAGGCCUGUAUUAAACCGCAGGCAGCAUAAAAAUUAAUGCUAUGACACUUUGCAAAACUAACAUCUAAGGAAAGAAAGAGGAGACCACUGCCAUGCCAAUACAUGCUACCAGAAAUAUUCUAUACAUAAGAGACUAAUUUUUUUCCCUAAGUCUUAUUAGGGCUUUAGAUGGAGAAUUGCAUUGCAUAAGAGUUUUUAUAACCAUGCUUUUCAAAAAAGCUAAAGAAAAGCUGGAAAAAGUCCAAAGUGGAGAUGAAGAGGUUCAGAAAAUAUGAACUAUGAAGAGAGAUUAAAGAAAUUGGCUUUGUUUAGUCUAGAAGACUGAGGAAAGACAUGAUAGGAGUCUUUCAUGUGUACAAGAUUGCUUGCAAGGGGACAGCAACCAAUCUGUAUGCCUCCUGAAGGAAGGACAAGAACAAAUCAGAGUAAUUUCCAAUACAGAAAACUGUACUGCGAACAGAAGCAACUCUACAAGAAGAGAGGUGUAAGCAAGCUGCAUGGGGAAGCUGUGGAACUAAACUGAACAAAAGGUUUACAAAAAUAUGUUGGACAAUUGGAAAUAGUCUGCUGUACUUGAGCAUCUUUAAGCUCUCUUUAAGUACUGGAAGGAGUUAUGAGGUCUCCUUGGAGCCAACUCUUCUCCAGGACAAACAUGCCAACUCUCAGCCUGUUUACAUAGGAGAGGUGCUCCAGCCCUC